rnacentral:tRNA from 1 species
GCAGCCGUGGCCUACUGGUUAGGGCUUCGGGCUUGGAACUGGAGGGUUGCCGGUUCAAUCCCCGCCCAGUAGGA